rnacentral:rRNA from 1 species
GACGAACGCUGGCGGCGUGCUUAACACAUGCAAGUCGAACGGAAAGGCCCUGCUUUUGUGGGGUGCUCGAGUGGCGAACGGGUGAGUAACACGUGAGUAACCUGCCCUUGACUUUGGGAUAACUUCAGGAAACUGGGGCUAAUACCGGAUAGGAGCUCCUGCUGCAUGGUGGGGGUUGGAAAGUUUCGGCGGUUGGGGAUGGACUCGCGGCUUAUCAGCUUGUUGGUGGGGUAGUGGCUUACCAAGGCUUUGACGGGUAGCCGGCCUGAGAGGGUGACCGGCCACCAUGGGACUGAGAUACGGCGCAGUCGCCUACGGGGGGCAGCGGGCGGGAAUAUUGCACAAUGGGCGGAAGCGUGAUGCAGCAACGCCGCGUGCGGGAUGACGGCCUUCGGGUUGUGAACCGCUUUCGCCUGUGACGAGGCGUGAGUGACGGUAAUGGGUGAAGAAGCACCGGCUAACUACGUG